rnacentral:rRNA from 1 species
AUUGAACGCUGGCGGCAUGCCUUACACAUGCAAGUCGAACGGUAACAGGUCUUCGGACGCUGACGAGUGGCGAACGGGUGAGUAAUACAUCGGAACGUGCCCAGUCGUGGGGGAUAACUACUCGAAAGAGUAGCUAAUACCGCAUACGAUCUGAGGAUGAAAGCGGGGGACCUUCGGGCCUCGCGUGAUUGGAGAGGCCGAUGGCAGAUUAGGUAGUUGGUGGGAUAAAAGCUUACCAAGCCGACGAUCUGUAGCUGGUCUGAGAGGACGACCAGCCACACUGGGACGAGGACACGGACCAGACUCCUACGGGAGGCAGCAGUGGGGAAUGUUGGACAAUGGGCGAAAGCCUGAUCCAGCAAUGCCGCGUGCAGGAUGAAGGCCUUCGGGUUGUAAACUGCUUUUGUACUGAACGAAAAAGCUCCUUCUAAUACAGGGGCCCAUGACGGUACCGUAAGAAUAAGCACCGGCUAACUACGUGCCAGCCGCCGCAGUAA